rnacentral:rRNA from 1 species
UUUAUGGAGAGUUUGAUCCUGGCUCAGGAUGAACGCUGGCGGCGUGCCUAAUACAUGCAAGUCGAGCGAACGGACGAGAAGCUUGCUUCUCUGAUGUUAGCGGCGGACGGGUGAGUAACACGUGGAUAACCUACCUAUAAGACUGGGAUAACUUCGGGAAACCGGAGCUAAUACCGGAUAAUAUUUUGAACCGCAUGGUUCAAAAGUGAAAGACGGUCUUGCUGUCACUUAUAGAUGGAUCCGCGCUGCAUUAGCUAGUUGGUAAGGUAACGGCUUACCAAGGCAACGAUGCAUAGCCGACCUGAGAGGGUGAUCGGCCACACUGGAACUGAGACACGGUCCAGACUCCUACGGGAGGCAGCAGUAGGGAAUCUUCCGCAAUGGGCGAAAGCCUGACGGAGCAACGCCGCGUGAGUGAUGAAGGUCUUCGGAUCGUAAAACUCUGUUAUUAGGGAAGAACAUAUGUGUAAGUAACUGUGCACAUCUUGACGGUACCUAAUCAGAAAGCCACGGCUAACUACGUGCCAGCAGCCGCGGUAAUACGUAGGUGGCAAGCGUUAUCCGGAAUUAUUGGGCGUAAAGCGCGCGUAGGCGGUUUUUUAAGUCUGAUGUGAAAGCCCACGGCUCAACCGUGGAGGGUCAUUGGAAACUGGAAAACUUGAGUGCAGAAGAGGA